GGCCCAUGGCUGUGUAGCCCCAGCUACACAUAUUUUGCCACAUCCAGGGCAAGCAUAACCAUUGUCCGCAGGUGGUCGAUUGAGAUUUUCUUUUCGCCGUCUGCGUUUGUCCUGGGCAGCAGAUUUCUUUUGGUCUCAAAUGUGUACCCCGCGGCCUUCAUGGGUGACUUCCAGCUGUCUCGUUCUAAGAACGCAUGCAACCAGUCAGACAGAGGAAGUAAUGGGAAGACAACACAAAAGAAUGGACGAGCCUGCCAUUGAAAGAGGUUCUAUCCAAGGCAAAAUUCAGAGAAGAUUGGAGAAAGUCGGUCGACAAAUCUUACAUGGUGCCCCAACGGCCCAACGGACUAAGGGAUAGUUGAUGGUGAAGUAACUCUUGAAAUUUGGUCCUUAAAAAAAAUAUGGCGACAAGUUUUAAUUGUGAAUUUGAGACUCAACAAAUGAUACAAAAGAGGAACAUAUCUGUUAGACUUAAUGACGACAAAGAGAUAGAAAUUUCUUUAGAUAUUAGAAAACUGGAGAAAAAAACUUCAACAGGUGGAGAUUUGAUGGCUUCAGUUCUGGAUGCACUCGAUCCAGACACGACAAACACAAUUUCCAAAGACCCACGACUGUACCACGUUGUGAAUGGAGAGGAGAACUUCAUUUCAAAAGAACAAAACAUCGAAGCAGUUCUGAUUUGUUUUCAGGAACCUGAUCCAUUCGUCUUAAAAAUUCGAUUUUAGAAAUAAAAAUGAUGAAAACAGACAAGUCAUUUGAAUGUGAAUGUCUAUUAAAGACUUGGAGAAGAAUCUAUUUCAACUUCGAAGUUCAUCAACUAAGUCCAACACAGUGUAAUAUGGGAAGCAGAGAAAUAAAUGUAAAUUAUGGAAAGCUUAUGUGUGUGAAUAUUCGAGUACAAUUUAAUUAUAAGUCAAAUAAAAAUGUGUAUGCACACUUACGA